CACGUAGGGGGCGAGCGUUGUCCGGAUUUAUUGGGCGUAAAGAGCUCGUAGGCGGUUUCGUAAGUCGGAUGUGAAAACUCCAGGCUCAACUUGGAGACGCCAUUCGAUACUGCGAUGACUUGAGUCCGGUAGGGGAGUGUGGAAUUCCUGGUGUAGCGGUGAAAUGCGCAGAUAUCAGGAGGAACACCGGCGGCGAAGGCGAGUCCCUGGACGAUACCUGACACUGAGGCACGAAAGCCAAGGGAGCAAACAGG
rnacentral:rRNA from 1 species